rnacentral:rRNA from 1 species
GAGUUUGAUCCUGGCUCAGGAUGAACGCUAGCGGCAGGCUUAGCACAUGCAAGUCGAACGGUAAGUUAAGAGCUUGCUCUUAACACGAGGGCGCACGGGUGCGUAACGCGUAUGCAAUCUGCCCUUUUCUGGAGAAUAGCCCUUAGAAAUGAGGAUUAAUACUCCAUAGUAUCACACUUUCGCAUGUUUGUGUGAUUAAAGCUUCGGCGGAAAAGGAUAGCAUGCGUCCCAUUAGCUUGUUGGUGAGGUAACGGCUCACCAAGGCCACGAUGGGUAGGGGGCCUGAGAGGGUUAUCCCCCACACUGGUACUGAGACAGGACCAGACUCCUACGGGAGGCAGCAGUGAGGAAUAUUGGUCAAUGGACGAAAGUCUGAACCAGCCAUGCCGCGUGCAGGAUGACUGCCCUAUGGGUUGUAAACUGCUUUUAUAUAGGAAGAAACCCCCUUAGGUGUAAGGGGUGAACGGUACCUAUAAGAAUUAAGGACCGGCUAACUCCGUGCCAGCAGCGGCGGUAAUACGGAGGGUCCAAGCGUUAUCCGGAUUUAUUGGGUUUAAAGGGUACGUAGGCCGAGGCUUUAAGUCAGUAGUGAAAGCCCAUCCGCUUACCGAUGGAACUGCUAUUGAUACUGAAGUUCUUGAAAUUAGUUGAAGUAGGCGGAAUACGGCAU